AUACGAAGGUGGCAAGCGUUGUUCGGAAUAACUGGGCGUAAAGCGCACGUAGGCGGAAUGUUAAGUUAGAGGUGAAAUCCCAGGGCUCAACCCUGGAACUGCCUUUAAUACUGGCAAUCUAGAGACCGAGAGAGGUGAGUGGAAUUCCGAGUGUAGAGGUGAAAUUCGUAGAUAUUCGGAGGAACACCAGUGGCGAAGGCGGCUCACUGGCUCGGUACUGACGCUGAGGUGCGAAAGCGUGGGGAGCAAACAGGAUUAGAUACCCUAGUAGUCC
rnacentral:rRNA from 1 species